UACGUAGGGUGCAAGCGUUAAUCGGAAUUACUGGGCGUAAAGCGUGCGCAGGCGGCUUUGCAAGACAGAUGUGAAAUCCCCGGGCUUAACCUGGGAACUGCAUUUGUGACUGCAGGGCUGGAGUGCGGCAGAGGGGGAUGGAAUUCCACGUGUAGCAGUGAAAUGCGUAGAUAUGCGGAGGAACACCGAUGGCGAAGGCAAUCCCCUGGGCCUGCACUGACGCUCAUGCACGAAAGCGUGGGGAGCAAACAGG
rnacentral:rRNA from 1 species